rnacentral:tRNA from 1 species
GGGACCAUCCGGGAUUGAACCGGAGACCUCUCGAUCUGCAGUCGAAUGCUCUACCACUGAGCUAUAGUCCCA